UCCCUGGAGGACUAGUGGUUAGGCCUCGGUGCUCCUGCUGCUGUGUCCAGGGUUCGAUUCCCGGCCAGGGAA